GCUCCUUCCAGGUUUUCUCAGACUUACGCUUCUCUAGCUUCUUCAUUGGUUGCCUCUUUAGCUUCUUCUCUUUAGACUCACGCUUUUCUCAAGUUUACGGUUCCAGGUUGCACGCUCAGUAUCGUCUUCUUCCAGGUUUGCCUAUCUAGAUUCUUCUCUUCCAAUCCAACCACAAGAACACAGCUGCUAAUCAAAACCAUACCCACAAGACAAGAACUAGACAGUGACGCACCCACAGCUUCAAAUCGGCGGCGCUUAUUCUCUUCCAAUCCAACUCGGCGGCACCAUUCUUUAGCUUCUUCUCUUCCAAUCCAACCUCAAAUCGGCGGCGCACCCACAUCCAAUCCAACUCGGCGGCGCCACCCACAAUCUUCAGGUGACUGAAGAUUGGAUGAAUCUUGCCAUGCUCCAAGUUAAAGUAUAUUAAAACAUCGAAGGCGUGUUUUUUUUUUUAAAUAAAAUGUAAAUUAAUCUGAUCUGAUUGGGAUUCUCAGCCUUCUAUUAUAACUCAGAAGCUGGUGUAUUCAUCUUUCCUUGUGACAAUAUAACUACGAAUUUAAAA